rnacentral:ncRNA from 2 species
AAAGACCCUCGGGGUGAGGUGGAAUUCCUCGAUCGGUGGUGAAAGCCCACGAGCCCUCUGGGGUCGAACCGGUGGAAUUCCGGUGCCGACGGUCAAAGUCCGGAUGGAAGAGGGAAGAU